rnacentral:rRNA from 2 species
GCAAGUCGAGCGGUAGAGAGAAGCUUGCUUCUCUUGAGAGCGGCGGACGGGUGAGUAAUGCCUAGGAAUCUGCCUGGUAGUGGGGGAUAACGUUCGGAAACGGACGCUAAUACCGCAUACGUCCUACGGGAGAAAGCAGGGGACCUUCGGGCCUUGCGCUAUCAGAUGAGCCUAGGUCGGAUUAGCUAGUUGGUGGGGUAAUGGCUCACCAAGGCGACGAUCCGUAACUGGUCUGAGAGGAUGAUCAGUCACACUGGAACUGAGACACGGUCCAGACUCCUACGGGAGGCAGCAGUGGGGAAUAUUGGACAAUGGGCGAAAGCCUGAUCCAGCCAUGCCGCGUGUGUGAAGAAGGUCUUCGGAUUGUAAAGCACUUUAAGUUGGGAGGAAGGGUUGUAGAUUAAUACUCUGCAAUUUUGACGUUACCGACAGAAUAAGCACCGGCUAACUCUGUGCCAGCAGCCGCGGUAAUACAGAGGGUGCAAGCGUUAAUCGGAAUUACUGGGCGUAAAGCGCGCGUAGGUGGUUAGUUAAGUUGGAUGUGAAAUCCCCGGGCUCAACCUGGGAACUGCAUUCAAAACUGACUGACUAGAGUAUGGU